GAUGAACGCUGGCGGCGUGCCUAACACAUGCAAGUCGAGCGAACAGAUGACUUCCUUGCUCCUCUGAUGGUAGCGGCGGACGGAUGAGUAACACAUGCUUAACCUACCUCUAAGACUAGGAUAACAACGGGAAACUAAUGCUAGUACUGGAUAAUAUAUUUAACGGCAUGGUUCAGUAGUCAAAGGCGGUUUUGCUGUCACUUAUAGCUGAUUCCGCGCCGCAUUAGCUAGUUGGUAAGGUAACGGCUUACCAAGGCAACGAUGCGUAGCCGACCUGAGAGGGGGAUCGCCGACCUGGGAACGCGAACACGGACACGAGGCCUGCGGGAGGGAGCAGUAGCGAAUCGGACGCAAUGGUGGGAAGCAUGACGGAGAAAGGGCGCGUGAGAGGUGAAGAUGUUGGGAGCGGAAAACUGUGUUAUGAGGGAAGAACAAAUGUGAAUGUGGACAAGGAGGGAUUGACGGUACCUACAGAGAAAGGAACGGCUAACUACGUG
rnacentral:rRNA from 1 species